rnacentral:tRNA from 1 species
GGUGAUGUAGCUCAGCUGGUAGAGCGUCGGACUGAAAAUCCGUGUGUCGGUGGUUCGAGCCCACUCAUCACCA